rnacentral:rRNA from 1 species
GAUGAACGCUGGCGGCGUGCCUAAUACAUGCAAGUCAAACGCUGGAAAUCUAGCUUGCUAGAUUGAAGGAGUGGCGAACGGGUGAGUAAUACAUAAGCAACCUACCCACGAAGACUGGGAUAAUCUCUGGAAACGGGGACUAAUACCGGAUAGGUAAUCGGAAGGCAUCUUCUGAUUAUUAAAGGUUAAAAACACUGGUGGAUGGGCUUAUGGCGCAUUAGUUAGUUGGUGAGGUAACGGCCCACCAAGACGAUGAUGCGUAGCCGGCCUGAGAGGGUGAACGGCCACAUUGGGACUGAGACACGGCCCAGACUCCUACGGGAGGCAGCAGUAGGGAAUUUUCGGCAAUGGGGGAAACCCUGACCGAGCAACGCCGCGUGAGUGAUGACGGCCUUCGGGUCGUAAAGCUCUGUUGUAAGGGAAGAACGGUAGAUAGAGAAUAUCUAAAUGACGGUACCUUACCAGAAAGCCACGGCUAACUACGUG